rnacentral:rRNA from 1 species
CCUACGGGAGGCUGCAGUGAGGAAUAUUGGUCAAUGGGCGGGAGCCUGAACCAGCCAAGUCGCGUGAAGGAAGAAGGUACUUAGUAUUGUAAACAUCUUUUGUCGGGGAACAAAGGCGGAGACGCGUCUCCGGAUGAGUGUACCCGAAGAAAAAGCAUCGGCUAACCCCGUGCCAGCAGCCGCGGUAAUCAGGGGGAUGCGGGCGUUAUCCGGAUUUAUUGGGUUUAAAGGGUGCGCAGGCGGGAGAUCAAGUCAGCGGUAAAAUGUCGGGGCUAAACCCCGGCCGGCCGUUGAAACUGGUUGUCUAGAGUUGGAUAGAAGUAUGCGGAAUUCGUGGUGUAGCGGUGAAAUGCAUAGAUAUCACGAAGAACUCCGAUGGCGAAGGCAGCAUCCCGGCUCCAUACUGACGCUGAGGCACGAAAGCGUGGGGAUCGAACAGGAUUAGAUACCCCGGUAGUC